CCUACGGGUGGCUGCAGUGAGGAAUAUUGGUCAAUGGGCGGAAGCCUGAACCAGCCAAGUAGCGUGCGGGAUGAAGGCCCUACGGGUCGUAAACCGCUUUUGCACGGGGAUAACACCCUCCACUUGUGUAGUUCUGCAUGUACCGUGCGAAUACGGGCCGGCUAAUUCCGUGCCAGCAGCCGCGGUAAUACGGAAGGUCCGAGCGUUAUCCGGAUUCAUUGGGCUUAAAGGGAGCGUAGGCGGGCGUGCAAGUCAGCUGUAAAAUCGCGCGGCUCAACCGCGCCCCGCAGUUGAAACUGGACGCAUUGAGUGCACAACAGGCAGGCGGAAUUCGUGGUGUAGCGGUGAAAUGCAUAGAUAUCACGAGGAACCCCGAUUGCGAAGGCAGCCUGCCGGGGUGCGACUGACGCUGAGGCUCGAAGGUGCGGGUAUCAAACAGGAUUAGAUACCCCUGUAGUC
rnacentral:rRNA from 1 species